rnacentral:misc_RNA from 1 species
ACCUCUGCUUUUCUUUCAUCGAUAAAGAUGCAUGUGUUAUUGUGUAUUUGCAUAAUCAAGGCAAGGUGAUCUACGAUAGUCUGAUAGAUGUUGAGGCUGGCUGUGCGCUGUGUAGCAUUACGGAGAGGACCAGUUGUCACGAUGUCUUCAGCAACAUAUUACGAUAUAUCAGAUAUGAGAAAACCUUACAGAGCCAGUGAUGAUGUAUUUGAUGUUGGCAACCUGGUAUCUACAAACCCUAUACAACAGUUUGAAGCCUGGUUCAAUGAAGCAAGGGCUGUUCCAAAUAUUGGGGAGGCCAAUGCCAUGGCCUUGGCAACCGCCUCAAAUCUGUUACAUUUUCCGGUACAUUUGACACCACACUGAUGUAGACAACUUUGACGUUUUAUCACAGAUCGGGGUUUCCCUCUGUGCGGAUGGUGCUGAUGAAGGGGUUCAGUGAAAAAGGAUUUACCUUCUUCACAAACUACGAGAGCCGUAAAGCAGCUGAAUUGGAUGAAAAUCCAGUCUGUUCCUUAAUGUUUUAUUGGGAUCCAAUGAAAAGAUCUGUCAGGAUUGAGGGAACAGUAGAAAGAGUACCAGAAGAAGAGUCAUUGCACUAUUUUGAACAGCGACCUCGCAAGAGUCGGUUAGGUGCCAUAGUUAGCCAUCAGAGUACAAUAUUAGAGAGUCGAGAGGUAAUAAAAAUGGGGUAAAACUUUUUCUCAGGAUAUUAUUCCUUAUCUCUUUUCCUUAAAGAAAUACAUCUGGUUUGUUCGACAUGCCAUUUAUUUAGAAGGACAAUGCUUAUUCAUUUUACAAAGACUGUUGAAGAUAAUUAUUACGCUAUCAUCUAGUGCACCAGACUUUUGGAAGCUUGUUUUAUUCUCAGUUUUCCAUGAAUAUUCAAGGUAAUCAACCAAAAAUAUGCAGAUCUUCUUGAGGAAUACAAAGAUGAAGAGAAAAACAUUCCCAAGCCUGAUUAUUGGUAAGUGUUUUCUCCUACUUUCAAUUAUAUAUACCCUUACUUGAUGUAAUUAUUAUAUUGAAUGCUAUACAUUGUACUUUGUAAAUUGUGAUACUUUUAAUCUGAAUUGAAAUUUUCAUUACAUUGUAAAAUAUGUAUGAGUAUAAUGUGUAUGGUAUGUGAUAAAAUAAGUAAUAAAUGGAACCUUCUUUUAAUAUCUUGUGACCUACAUGCAGUUGUAUGCAUUUUCAUCUUAUUCUUUUCUUGUAUUUUGGUAACUUUAGCAUAUGUAUUAGAUUGUGACAGUCUACAGACUACAGACUAUAGUGGUACCAUUAAUUUAAAGGAAAUGUUUUACUGAUGUAAAAUAUAUACCAAUAUUAAAAACUUGAUCAUCGAAGAAAGCUCACUUAAAUUUAUGCUAAAGAUUUAUUUCUAGUGGAAGGGCACUUGAGUGCUUAGUUUAACAGGUUUUUGAAAUUGAAAAUUAGGUACAGUCAUGUGACUUAAUUGAGAUUAAUGAAUCUCAGUCUUUUGAUUUAUUUGUAUAUUUCAAAGGGGAGGAUACUUAGUCCGACCAAUCAGCAUGGAGUUCUGGCAGGGACAGACUAAUCGCCUCCAUGACAGAAUUCGAUUCCAUAAACUUAAAGAAAAUGAGGCAAUAGACUCCAAAUGUAUGCACCAGGGCGACAGAGACUGGGUCUUUGAGAGGCUUGCUCCAUAAAUGCAGUUUUUUUUUACUUUUCAGAUUUUUGUUCAUUUCACUGAUGAUAUUGGGAAACUUUUUGUAUGCUUUUAACUAAUUCUUGUAUAUUUACAUUGCAUUUAUUUGUAUCAUUAACAAUUUGCCUUUUGUUUCAGUACAAGUCUGAUACAUUGCACUUGUGAAUUUGCUAGAGAAUGUUUCAUUUUCAUUGCACUCACUUUCUGAUGAAAUAUUUUGCUGUGUAGUGUUGCAGUAACUUAAGAUGUUAUUUUUAUUAGUAUGGAAUAAGGUAGCCAAUUGUUAUUUCAUUGCUUUAUUUGUUCCUAUAGUCAACAGAUGUCCCCUAAUAAAUUUCUCUGAUACAUGUUGGUUGGUGUAUAUGUACGAUAUAUACAUGUAGUUGAAGAUUGUCUAUUUCAAGAAAUUUUGGCAGAAGAGGUAUUGACUCCUUUCAACUAAUUUUUUUUUCAUGUUUAUGCUUAAAAAUUGGCAAGAAAUAAAUUUAUACAUACAUG